GAUGAAGAACGUAGCGAAAUGCGAUACGUAAUGUGAAUUGCAGAAUUCAGUGAAUCAUCGAGUCUUUGAACGCACAUUGCGCCCCCUGGUAUUCCGGGGGGCAUGCCUGUCCGAGCGUCAUUGCUGCCCUCAAGCACGGCUUGUGUGUUGGGCCUCCGUCCUCCUCCCGGGGGACGGGCCCGAAAGGCAGCGGCGGCACCGCGUCCGGUCCUCGAGCGUAUGGGGCUUCGUCACCCGCUCUUGUAGGCCCGGCCGGCGCUUGCCGACACAUCAAUCUUUUUUCCAGGUUGACCUCGGUUCAGGUAGGGAUACCCGCUGAACUUAAGCAUAUCAAUAAGCGGAGGA
rnacentral:misc_RNA from 1 species